GCUAUGAUCAUGCCUCCAGAGGCUGAGGUGGGAGGAUGACUUGAGCCUGGGAGGUCCAGGCUGCAGUGAGCUAUAAUCAUGCCACUGCACUCCAGCCUGGACAACAGAGCAAGACUCUGUCUCAAAAUAACAACAACAAAAAAAGAGGCAGCAUAGACUUCAGAAAGGUGGGUCUGGGAAAAAUGAAUCAUAUACCUCUCCAGUGGUCUCAGACACCCCAACAUAGAUACCAUCAGAUCCCCUAAACACAGGCACCCAGGCAGGUGCCAUCAGAUACCCAAAACAGGCUUCCAGGUAACCCCCAAAUAUGUCAGACACUCCACAUAGGUCCAGCAGAUACCCCCAAACACAUACUAGAUAACCCCAAUACAGAUGCUGUCAGAUACCCUCAAACAGGUGCUCAGAGUCUGAAACACAUACCAUACCCUCCCCUAUCCACUUCCACACAGGUGCUAUUUGGCAGAUGUGGAUAGGCCAGAUGCUUCCCCCAGCACCAGCAACCUCUCAAUUGCCAUCAGACACCCCAGUCUUGAGGUUGCCUGUCUAAUCCAAGUCCUGCCACAGGGGAGGCAGUUGAACAGUAACCAGGAGUCGAGCAGAACAGCUCUCACCAAGGUUGGCUGGUCAGCCAGGCCUAGAAGAUCUCCCCAUGGCCAGGCAAGACGGCUCAUGCCUGUAAUCCUAACACUUUGGGAGUCUGAGGAGGGAGGAUCACUUGAGUCCAGGAGCUUUGAGAUCAGCCUGGGAAACCUCGCAUGACCCAGUCUCUAUUUUAGAAAAAAAGAUUUCCCCAAACCCAAUCACUUCAAAACAUGCACAAUAUGUUGUUGAGAGUCCCCAGUUCAGAAGCUGGAGGGUUGCGUCCCCAGGUGGACUAGCCUUCAGUUCAAGUCCAACCUUCAUGGUCCAGAGGAAGGGAGCAUGUUCAGGGAAUUGGAUGUCCCAGAAAUGCAAGACGUAAUUCACCAGGCACCCUACUGCAGCUGAGGUCAGAAACUCUAACACGGGAGUUUAUGAGGGCUCAAUGGUUGGGCAGCUGUGUAGCUGUGGCUUAUGGACUUAGGGGCAUGAACCUUAUUUUUUUUCCUUUUUUUUUUUUUUUUUUUUUUUUUGAGACAGGAUCUCACUCUGUCACUUAGGCUGGAAGUGCAGUGGCACAAUCAUAGCUCAUUGCAGCUUCCAUCUCCUGGGCUCAAGUUGUCCUCCCACCUCAGCCUCCCAAGUAGCUGGGACCACAGGCACACACCACCACGUCUGGCUAAUUUUUUUGUAGAGACAGAGUUUCGCCAUGUUGCCUAGAUUGGUCUCGAACUCCUGAGCUCAAGUGAUCUGCCCGCCUGGGCCUCCUAUGAUGCCAGGAUUGUAGGUGUGAGCCAUCAUGCCCGGCCUUUGAACCUUAUUUCUUUCUUUCUCUUUUUCUUUCUUUUUUUUUUUUUUUCUUUCUUGAGACAGAGUCUCACUCUGUCACCCAGGCUGCAGUGUAGUGGUACCAUCUAGGCUCACUGCAGCCUCCACCUCCUGGGUUCAAGUGAUCCUCCUGCCUCAGCCUCCCGAGUGCUGGAAUUACAGGUAUGCACCACCAAGCCUGGCUAAUUUUUGUGUUUUUUUUUUGUUUUUUUUUCAGUAGAGUCAGGGUUUCACCAUGUUGGCCAGACUGGUCUUGAACUCCUGACCUCAAGUGAUCCUCCCACCCUGGCCUCCCAAAGUGCUGGGAUUACAGGCGUGAGCCACUGGGUCUGGCCAUCAGCCUUAUUUCUAUAGCUAUCUUGGUUAUAGGAAACUUCAGGUGGACACAGCCCUCCCCUAAACAUAGAAACCAACUUUCUCAGAGACAACUAGGAAGGAGAAACAUCUCCCAUCUUUCUUUUAUCCAUCCAACCAUUCUGCAUUUAUGAGUCUUUUUUUUUUUUUUUUUUUUUGAGACGGAGUCUCACUCUGUUGCCCAAGCUGGAGUGCAGUGGUGCCAUCUUGGCUCACUGCAAACUCCACCUCCCAGAUUGAAGCAAUUCUCCUGCCUCAGCCUCCCGAGUAGCUGGGAUUGCAGGCACCCGCCACUACAUCUGGCUAAUUUUUGUAUUUUUUGUAGAGAUGGGGUUUUACCAUGUUGGCCAGGCUGGUCUUGAACUCCUGACCUUAGGUGAUCUGCCUGCCUCAGCCUCCCAAAGUGCUGGGAUUACAGGCGUGAGCCACCACACCUGGCCUCAUUUAUGAGUCUUUAGCAUGGACCAGGGGCGCUAGGAGCUAAGGAGAUGCAAGGAGCUUAGGCCCAGAGCAGGGUUUUCUCAGCUUGGCACUUUCGACAAUUAGGGCUGGAUAAUUCUCGGUGGUGGUGGCAGGGGUGGUCUCCUAUGCACUGGAGGGUGUUGAGCGGCAUCCCUGGUCUCUACCUCCUAGAUGCCAGUGGCUCCCCUGGUCCUGAAAAAAAUGCCUCCAGAUGUUUCCUUGGCUGAGAGCAACUGGCCUAAGAGACAUUCAGACACUUAUCCAGCCUAAUUCCGACUUCCUGGAGGAAGUGGGCCUGGGCUUUGUCUUAAAAGGAUGAGUAAGAGUUAGGUGGGAGAGGGAGUUCCAGGAACAGCGCUGGAUGAGCAAGGCACAGCGUAUGUGUAUGACGUGUAUGAACAGCCAUGAGACUUCAGGGUGACUGGGCCGUGGAGUCCGGAGAACCUGAGUAGUGGGAGAGAAGCGUGGAGGGAUAGGUGGGGUUGAAUUAUAAACAGCCUCAAAGGUCAAGGCCAGGAACAGGACUGUCUGGCGUGGUGUCUGUUCUCUGAAAAGCAUCCCAACUUUAUCGUGGAGACCCACCUUCUCUAAUUACCUGGAGUAUGACUCAUUCUCUGUUCUGUUUGUUUAACUUACUGUGAGGCUGUUUCCUCCGUCUGUCCCACGGACGGGAGGAAACGGGACAGACUGUCACGUUGACUUUGAAUACCUUUAAAAGCAGGUAGGCCUGUGGGGAGUUAUACCUUGGGAGGACUUUUCUCAGCCUGCUGGGAAUGAGACAUGGGUGUUUUGGCCCCUUCAUGCCUCCUGACACAGCUUUGCAGAGGCAAGCGUCUAUGAUUUAAAUGCUAGCUUUGCCGCUUACUGGCUGAAAGACUUUAAAUGACAAUAACAAAAAAUGAAGAGGAUGAUGAUGAUGAUACAAGAUACCAUUGCCCGUGUGUACCAGACAUCAUGCUAAGUGAGUGCUACCCACAUCAUUUUUCUUUCUUUUCUUUUCUUUUCUUUUUUCUUUUUUUUUUUUUUUUGAUACAGAGUCUCGCUCUGUCACCCAGGCUGAAGUGCAGUGGCGCAAUCUUGCCUCACUGCAACCUCCACCUCUUGGGUUCAAGGGAUCCUCCCACCUGAGCCUCCUGAGUAACUGCGAUUACAGGCAUGUGCCACCAUGCCCCGCUAAUUGUUUUGUGUUUUUAAUGGAGAUGGGGUCUUACCAUGUUGGCCAGGCUGGUCUCAAACUCCUGACCUCAAGUGAUCCUCCCACCUUGGUCUCCCAAAGUGCUGGGAUUACAGGUGUAAGCCACCACGCCCAGCCUUUACCCACAUUAUUUCUUUUUUCUUUUUAGGAACAGGGUCUUGCUCUGUGGCACAGGCUAGAGGGCAGUGGCAAAUCAUAGCUAACUGUAGCUUUGAACACCUGGGCUCAAGCAAUGCUGCCACCUCAGCCUCCCGAGUAGCUAGGAUUAUAGGCGAGUGCCACCACACCUGGCUAACUUUUAAACAUUUUUUUUGUAGAGACGAGGGUCUCACUAUAUUGCCCAGACUCCUGAACUCAAGGGAUCCUCCUGCCUCAGCCUCCCAAAGCGCUGAGAUUACAGGAGUGAGCUUCCGCGCCCGGCCCCACAUCAUUUCUUUCACACAAACUCAAAUCUUUCUUGACCUCAAAGGGUUGUCCUGCAAAUCAAAAUCAAAUGAUGUCUCCAGGAGAAAGAGCUUAAUUCCCACCACCCUGAGAGUGGGCUGGAUGUCACGACUCGUGGGCGGAUCGCUUGAGGCCAGGAGUUCGAGACCAGCCUGGCCAACACGGCGAAACCCUGUCUCUACUAAAAAUACAAAAAAUUAGCCAGGCAUGGUGGCAUACGCCUGUAAUCCCAGCUACUCGGGAGGCUGAGACAGGAGAGUAGCUUGAACCCAGGAGGUGGAGGUUGCAGUGAGCCAAGAUUGUGCCACUGCACUCCAGCCUGGGUGACACAGCAAGACUCCAUCUCAAAAAAAAAAAAAUAAGUAAAUAAGAAAGAAAGAAAGGAAGGAAGGAAGGAAGGGAGGAAGGAAGAAGGAAGGAAGGAAGGAAGAAAAUGUAGGGUGGAUGCAGUGGCUCACACCUGUAAUCCCAGCACUUUGGGAGGCUGAGGUGGGUGGAUCGCUUGAGCCCAGGAGUUCAAGACCAACUUGGGCAAUGUGACAAAACCCUGUUUCUACAAAAAAAAAAAAAAAAAAAAAAAUUAUCCUGGUAUGAUGGCAUGCACUUCUAGUCCCAGCUACUUGGGAGGCUAGGGUGGGAGGAUUGCUUGAGCCCAGGAGGCAGAGGUUGUAGUGAACCAAGAUCACGCCACUGCACCCCAGCCUGGGCAACAGAGCGAGACUCUGUCUCAAAAAAAAAAAAAAAAUUAGCCUGGUGUGGUGCUACGAGACUGUAGUCCCUGCUACUCGGGAGGCUGAAGUGGGAGGAUCUCUUGAGCCCAAGAAGUCGAGGCUGCAGUAAGCUGUGAUCGUGCCACCGCACUCCAGCC
rnacentral:lncRNA from 1 species